GGAGAAGUCACCUUCGGGUGGUGGGCACCGGCGCACGGGUGAGUAACGCGUGGGAACGUACCCUUCGGCGGGGGACAACAGCUGGAAACGGCUGCUAAUACCGCAUACGUCCGAGAGGAGAAAGGCUUCGGCCACCGAGGGAUCGGCCCGCGUUAGAUUAGCUAGUUGGUGAGGUAAUGGCUCACCAAGGCUACGAUCUAUAGCUGGUCUGAGAGGAUGAUCAGCCACACUGGGACUGAGACACGGCCCAGACUCCUACGGGAGGCAGCAGUGGGGAAUAUUGCGCAAUGGAGGAAACUCUGACGCAGCCAUGCCGCGUGUGUGAAGAAGGCCUUCGGGUUGUAAAGCACUUUCGACGGGGAAGAUGAUGACGGUACCCGUAGAAGAAGCUCCGGCUAACUUCGUGCCAGCAGCCGCGGUAAUACGAAGGGAGCAAGCGUUGUUCGGAAUUACUGGGCGUAAAGGGCGCGUAGGCGGAUGUAUUAGUCAGGGGUGAAAGCCAUGGGCUCAACCUGUGAACUGCCUUUGAUACUAUGCAUCUAGAGUCUGUGAGAGGAUAGCGGAAUACCCAGUGUAGAGGUGAAAUUCGUAGAUAUUGGGUAGAACA
rnacentral:rRNA from 1 species